rnacentral:rRNA from 1 species
UUUUCGAGAGGGAGCCUGAGAAACGGCUACCACAUCCAAGGAAGGCAGCAGGCACGCAAAUUACCCACUCCCGGCACGGGGAGGUAGUGACAAAAAAUAACGAUACGGGACUCAUAUGAGGCCCCGUAAUCGGAAUGAGUACACUUUAAAUCCUUUAACAAGGAUCCAUUGGAGGGCAAGUCUGGUGCCAGCAGCCGCGGUAAUUCCAGCUCCAAUAGCGUAUAUUAAAGUUGUUGCGGUUAAAAAGCUCGUAGUUGGUUCUGCGUGCUACGCUGUCGGUUCGCCGCCUGCCGGUGUAACUGGCAUGCCGUGGCAUGUCCUGUCGGUGGCGUUCGGGAGCUUCGUCUAGGUGUCUCCUCCGGACCGAAAGGGACGGGUGGUUGUAUAACCGGGAGCCUCCCCGUUCGCCUACUCUAUCCUACCUAGGUGCUCUUCACCGAGUGUCGAGGUAGGCCGACACGUUUACUUUGAACAAAUUAGAGUGCUCAAAGCAGGCUGAAAUUUCUGCCUGAAUAGUGGUGCAUGGAAUAAUAAAACAGGACCUCGGUUCUAUUUUGUUGGUUCUUAGGAACACGAGGUAAUGAUCAAUACGGACAGGCGGGGGCAUUCGUAUUGCGACGUUAGAGGUGAAAUUCUUGGAUCGUCGCAAGACGCACAAGAGC